UGGGGAAUAUUGCACAAUGGAGGAAACUCUGAUGCAGCGACGCCGCGUGAGUGAAGAAGGUCUUCGGAUCGUAAAACUCUGUCCUUGGUGACGAAAAAAAUGACGGUAGCCAAGGAGGAAGCCCCGGCUAACUACGUGCCAGCAGCCGCGGUAAUACGUAGGUGGCGAGCGUUGUCCGGAAUUACUGGGUGUAAAGGGCGUGUAGGCGGGGAUGCAAGUCAGAUGUGAAAUGCCGGAGCUUAACUCCGGAGCUGCAUCUGAAACUGUGUUUCUUGAGUGUCGGAGAGGAUAGCGGAAUUCCCAGUGUAGCGGUGAAAUGCGUAGAUAUUGGGAGGAACACCAGUGGCGAAGGCGGCUUUCUGGACGAUAACUGACGCUGAGGCGCGAAAGCGUGGGGAGCAAACA
rnacentral:rRNA from 1 species